rnacentral:rRNA from 1 species
UGGGGAAUAUUGCGCAAUGGGCGAAAGCCUGACGCAGCGACGCCGCGUGAGGGAUGAAGGUUUUCGGAUCGUAAACCUCUGUCAGAAGGGAAGAAACCGCACUGUGCUAAUCAGCAGUGCCUUGACGGUACCUUCAAAGGAAGCACCGGCUAACUCCGUGCCAGCAGCCGCGGUAAUACGGAGGGUGCAAGCGUUAAUCGGAAUUACUGGGCGUAAAGCGCACGUAGGCUGCUUUGUAAGUCAGGGGUGAAAUCCCACGGCUCAACCGUGGAACUGCCUUGGAUACUGGGUAGCUUGAAGCCGGGAGAGGGUGGCGGAAUGCCAGGUGUAGGAGUGAAAUCCGUAGAUAUCUGGAGGAACAUCAGUGGCGAAGGCGGCCACCUGGACCGGUAUUGACGCUGAGGUGCGAAAGCGUGGGGAGCAAACAGG